rnacentral:tRNA from 1 species
GGACCCCUAGCUCAGCUGGAUAGAGCGUCGGCCUCCGGAGCCGAAGGUCGCGCGUUCGAAUCGCGCGGGGUCCG